rnacentral:rRNA from 1 species
UACAGGGGGUGCAAACGUUGCUCGGAAUUAUUGGGCGUAAAGCGUGCGUAGGCGGCUACUUAUGUCGGAUGUGAAAGCCCUCGGCUCAACUGAGGAAGUGCACCCGAAACUGAGUGGCUGGAGUACGAAAGAGGGUCGCGGAAUUCCCGGUGUAGAGGUGAAAUUCGUAGAUAUCGGGAGGAACACCGGUGGCGAAGGCGGCGACCUGGGUCGAUACUGACGCUGAGGCGCGAAAGCGUGGGGAGCAAACAGG